rnacentral:rRNA from 1 species
GAUGAACGCUGGCGGCGUGCCUAAUACAUGCAAGUCGAGCGAACGGACGAGAAGCUUGCUUCUCUGAUGUUAGUGGCGGACGGGUGAGUAACACGUGGAUAACCUACCUAUAAGACUGGGAUAACUUCGGGAAACCGGAGCUAAUACCGGAUAAUAUUUUGAACCGCAUGGUUCAAAAGUGAAAGACGGUCUUGCUGUCACUUAUAGAUGGAUCCGCGCUGCAUUAGCUAGUUGGUAAGGUAACGGCUUACCAAGGCAACGAUGCAUAGCCGACGUGAGAGGGUGAUCGGCCACACUGGAACUGAGACACGGUCCAGACGACUACGGGAGGCAGCAGUAGGGAAUCGUCCGCAAUGGGCGAAAGCCUGACGGAGCAACGCCGCGUGAGUUAUGAAGGUCUUCGGAUCGUAAAACUCUGUUAUGAGGGAAGAACAUAUGUGUAAGGAACUGUGCACAGCUUGACGGUACCUAAUCAGAAAGCCACGGCUAACUACGUG